AGAGUUUGAUCAUGGCUCAGAUUGAACGCUGGCGGCAGGCCUAACACAUGCAAGUCGAACGGUAACAGGAAGCAGCUUGCUGCUUCGCUGACGAGUGGCGGACGGGAGAGUAAUGUCUGGGUAGCUGCCUGAUGGAGGGGGAUGACUACUGGAAACGGUAGCUAAUACCGCAUAAUGUCGCAAGACCAAAGAGGGGGACCUUCGGGCCUCUUGCCAUCGGAUGUGCCCAGAUGGGAUUAGCUUGUUGGUGGGGUAACGGCUCGCCAAGGCGACGAUCCCUAGCUGGUCUGAGAGGAUGACCAGCCACACUGGAACUGAGACACGGUCCAGACUCCUACGGGAGGCAGCAGUGGGGAAUAUUGCACAAUGGGCGCAAGCCUGAUGCAGCCAUGCCGCGUGUAUGAAGAAGGCCUUCGGGUUGUAAAGUACUUUCAGCGGGGAGGAAGGGAGUAAAGUUAAUACCUUUGCUCAUUGACGUUACCCGCAGAAGAAGCACCGGCUAACUCCGUGCCAGCAGCCGCGGUAAUACGGAGGGUGCAAGCGUUAAUCGGAAUUACUGGGCGUAAAGCGCACGCAGGCGGUUUGUUAAGUCAGAUGUGAAAUCCCCGGGCUCAACCUGGGAACUGCAUCUGAUACUGGCAAGCUUGAGUCUCGUAGAGGGGGGUAGAAUUCCAGGUGUAGCGGUGAAAUGCGUAGAGAUCUGGAGGAAUACCGGUGGCGAAGGCGGCCCCCUGGACGAAGACUGACGCUCAGGUGCGAAAGCGUGGGGAGCAAACAGGAUUAGAUACCCUGGUAGUCCACGCCGUAAACGAUGUCGACUUGGAGGUUGUGCCCUUGAGGCGUGGCUUCCGGAGCUAACGCGUUAAGUCGACCGCCUGGGGAGUACGGCCGCAAGGUUAAAACUCAAAUGAAUUGACGGGGGCCCGCACAAGCGGUGGAGCAUGUGGUUUAAUUCGAUGCAACGCGAAGAACCUUACCUGGUCUUGACAUCCACGGAAGUUUUCAGAGAUGAGAAUGUGCCUUCGGGAACCGUGAGACAGGUGCUGCAUGGCUGUCGUCAGCUCGUGUUGUGAAAUGUUGGGUUAAGUCCCGCAACGAGCGCAACCCUUAUCCUUUGUUGCCAGCGGUCCGGCCGGGAACUCAAAGGAGACUGCCAGUGAUAAACUGGAGGAAGGUGGGGAUGACGUCAAGUCAUCAUGGCCCUUACGACCAGGGCUACACACGUGCUACAAUGGCGCAUACAAAGAGAAGCGACCUCGCGAGAGCAAGCGGACCUCAUAAAGUGCGUCGUAGUCCGGAUUGGAGUCUGCAACUCGACUCCAUGAAGUCGGAAUCGCUAGUAAUCGUGGAUCAGAAUGCCACGGUGAAUACGUUCCCGGGCCUUGUACACACCGCCCGUCACACCAUGGGAGUGGGUUGCAAAAGAAGUAGGUAGCUUAACCUUCGGGAGGGCGCUUACCACUUUGUGAUUCAUGACUGGGGUGAAGUCGUAACAAGGUAACCGUAGGGGAACCUGCGGUUG
rnacentral:rRNA from 1 species